AACCUGGUUGAUCCUGCCAGUAGUCAUAUGCUCACCUCAAGGAUUAAGCCAUGCAUGUCGAAGUAUAAACUAGUAUACGGUGAAACUGCGAACGGCUCAUUAAAUCAGUUGCAAUCGAAGUGGCGAUAUCAGGUCUUGAUCGGAUAACACUGGCAAAUCUAGUGCUAAUACGUCCGGCUGGUAGAGGCGAGCAAUCGCGUCUGCCGGCCGCACUUACUAGCUGCUGCUGCCAACGGGCUGGAGGCGCCCUCGUGACGCCCCCGGCUCCCCCCGACGAGCCAUAGUAAGGAGUUGACCGCCCCCGCGGGCGGCGUGCCAUUCGAGCUUCUGCACUAUCAUCUCAGGUUGGUAGAGUAGUGGUCUACCAAGGAGUUUACGGUUAACGGAGGAUUAGGGUUCGACUCCGGAGAAUGAGCCUGAGAGACGGCUCAUACAUCCAAGGAUGGCAGCAGGCGCGAAAAUUACCCAAUGUACAAAGUACGAGGUAGUGACAAGGAAUAUCGGGGCCUGUGGGCAUUUUGCCCAUGCGGCCGCUGACAUGGACCGGCUCCAAAGGUGCCGGUGAAUACGAGUCGAGGGAAAGGUCUGGUGCCAGCAGCCGCGGUAAUUCCAGCUCGACCAGCGUAUAUUAAAGUUGUUGCAGUUAAAACGUUCGUAGUUUGACUUGCGGGGUGCGAGAACAGUGGUUUAUGGUUUUGGGGGUCAGCGCGGGGGGAUUGGCUUCGGUCAGUACCCUUGCGUCCCCGGAUCCAGCGCGGGGGGGUGUGCAGCGCUUGAAUAAAGUGCUGCGCGCUUUUACGCGUUCCGUCCUAACGGGCGGGGCCCUUCGUCAGCACUCUGUUUGCGCGUGCCUUCACCGGUGCGCGCGAUUACCAUGAGGAAAUAGGUACGUUCAAAGUAGGGUGGCGGUCACUGCUAGCGCUGUAAUAGGCGCGCAGACCCGCCCGUCCCGUUGAACAGGCCAGCAUGGGAUAAUGUGCUACGACUCGGCGUCAGUAGUACGUUGGCUUGCAGCGGAUGCAGAGUAAUGGUUGAUAGGAGUGAGUGCGUGGGCAUCAGGACCAGACGGGGACAGGUGAAAUAGGAUGAUCCGUCUGAGACUAUCGGGAGCGAAAGCGUUUGCCAAGUACACUUUCAUUAAUCAAGAUCGAAAGCCAGGGGAUAGAAGGCGAUUAGACACCACCGUAUUCCUGGCCAUAAACCAUACCAACUAAGAAUUGGGAGUGCAUUCCAUUUUUUAUUUUUGGUUCCUCUCAGCGCUCAUAGAGAAAUCGUUAAGUUUUCGGGUUCUGGGGGGAGUAUGGUCGCAAGGCUGAAACUUGAAGGCAUUGACGGAGAGAUACCACAAGACGUGGAGUCUGCGGCUCAAUUUGACUCAACACGUAAACCUUACCAGGCCCAGACGUGCGUGGGAUUGACAGAUUGAUAGUUCUUUCAUGAUUGCAUGGUUGGUGGUGCAUGGCCGUUCUUAGCCCGUAACGUAAGUCGUCUGCUUUAUUGCGAUAACGAGCGAGACCUCUGUUGUCAAAUACGCUGCACGUGCUCUGUGUUCCGCGUGCCGGCCUCUUUUUUUGGCUGGCUUGCGCGGCGGCACCUGUGCGGGCGUUCUUGGCGAGACUGUUGGCGAUUUCAAAGCCAAAGGAAGGUAGAGGCAAUAACAGGUCUGUGAUGCCCUUAGAUGCCCUGGGCCGCACGCGUACUACACUGCCUGAUUCAGGAGGAUUUUUUUCAGCUGGCCUGAAGGGGUCGGCUACUCGUGAAUAUCAGGCGUGGCUGGGAUUGGGGCUUGGAACUAUGCCCCAUGAACAAGGAAUGUCUAGUAGGCGCGCUUCACAAAGACGCGCCGAUUCUGUCCCUGUCCCUUGUACACACCGCCCGUCGCUUGAUCCGAUUGGUUAUUUUGGCGAGUUCUUCGGACGCACUGUCCUCCAUUGCCGCGCUGCGAGGCGCUGUGAGGUGGGCUGCGGAAGUUGUGCGAGCCUAAAGAAUUAGAGGAACAAGAAGUCGUAACAAGGUAUCCGUAGGUGAACCUGCAGAAGGAUCAAGC
rfam:Retortamonas sp. ATCC 50375 small subunit ribosomal RNA gene, complete sequence.